rnacentral:rRNA from 1 species
GACGAACGCUGGCGGCGUGCUUAACACAUGCAAGUCGAACGGAAAGGCCCUGCUUUUGUGGGGUGCUCGAGUGGCGAACGGGUGAGUAACACGUGAGUAACCUGCCCUUGACUUUGGGAUAACUUCAGGAAACUGGGGCUAAUACCGGAUAGGAGCUCCUGCUGCAUGGUGGGGGUUGGAAAGUUUCGGCGGUUGGGGAUGGACUCGCGGCUUAUCAGCUUGUUGGUGGGGUAGUGGCUUACCAAGGCUUUGACGGGUAGCCGGCCUGAGAGGGUGACCGGCCACAUUGGGACUGAGAGACGGACCAGACUCCUACGGGAGGCAGCAGUGGGGAAUAUUGCACAAUGGGCGGAAGCCUGAGGCAGCAACGCCGCGUGCGGGAUGACGGCCUUCGGGUUGUAAACCGCUUUCGCCUGUGACGAAGCGUGAGUGACGGUAAUGGGUAAAGAAGCACCGGCUAACUACGUG